CACAAGCGGUGGAGCAUGUGGUUAAUUCGAAGCAACGCGAAGAACCUUACCAGGCCUUGACAUGCAGAGAACUUUCCAGAGAUGGAUUGGUGCCUUCGGGAACUCUGACACAGGUGCUGCAUGGCUGUCGUCAGCUCGUGUCGUGAGAUGUUGGGUUAAGUCCCGCAACGAGCGCAACCCUUGUCAUUAGUUGCCAUCUAUUGUUGGGCACUCUAAUGAGACUGCCGGUGACAAACCGGAGGAAGGUGGGGAUGACGUCAAGUCCUCAUGGCCCUUAUGGGUAGGGCUUCACACGUCAUACAAUGGUCGGUACAGAGGGUUGCCAACCCGCGAGGGGGAGCUAAUCCCACAAAGCCGAUCGUAGUCCGGAUCGCAGUCUGCAACUCGACUGCGUGAAGUCGGAAUCGCUAGUAAUCGUGGAUCAGCAUGUCACGGUGAAUACGUUCCCGGGUCUU
rnacentral:rRNA from 1 species